rnacentral:rRNA from 1 species
UACAGAGGUCCCAAGCGUUGUUCGGAUUUACUGGGCGUAAAGGGAGCGUAGGUGGCCUUCUAAGUCUGAUGUGAAAGCUCUGAGCUUAACUCAGAAAUGGCAUUAGAAACUAGUUUGCUAGAGGAUUGGAGGGGAGAUUGGAAUACUUGGUGUAGCAGUGAAAUGCGUAGAUAUCAAGUGGAACACCAGUGGCGAAGGCGAAUCUCUGGACAAUUCCUGACACUGAUGCUCGAAAGCUAGGGGAGCAAACGGG